rnacentral:rRNA from 1 species
AGUGAACGCUGGCGGCAGGCCUAACACAUGCAAGUCGAACGGCAGCACAGAGGAGCUUGCUCCUUGGGUGGCGAGUGGCGGACGGGUGAGGAAUACAUCGGAAUCUGCCUAUUUGUGGGGGAUAACGUAGGGAAACUUACGCUAAUACCGCAUACGACCUACGGGUGAAAGCGGAGGACCUUCGGGCUUCGCGCAGAUAGAUGAGCCGAUGUCGGAUUAGCUAGUUGGCGGGGUAAAGGCCCACCAAGGCGACGAUCCGUAGCUGGUCUGAGAGGAUGAUCAGCCACACUGGAACUGAGACACGGUCCAGACUCCUACGGGAGGCAGCAGUGGGGAAUAUUGGACAAUGGGCGCAAGCCUGAUCCAGCCAUGCCGCGUGGGUGAAGAAGGCCUUCGGGUUGUAAAGCCCUUUUGUUGGGAAAGAAAAGCAGCCGGUUAAUACCCGGUUGUUCUGACGGUACCCAAAGAAUAAGCACCGGCUAACUUCGUGCCAGCAGCCGCCGUAA